AUUGAACGCUGGCGGCAUGCCUUACACAUGCAAGUCGAACGGCAGCACGGGAGCAAUCCUGGUGGCGAGUGGCGAACGGGUGAGUAAUAUAUCGGAACGUGCCCAGUAGUGGGGGAUAACUGCUCGAAAGAGCAGCUAAUACCGCAUACGACCUGAGGGUGAAAGGGGGGGAUCGCAAGACCUCUCGCUAUUGGAGCGGCCGAUAUCAGAUUAGCUAGUUGGUGGGGUAAAGGCCUACCAAGGCAACGAUCUGUAGUUGGUCUGAGAGGACGGACAGCCAAACUGGGACUGAGACACGGCCCAGACUCCUACGGGAGGCAGCAGUGGGGAAUUUUGGACAAUGGGCGCAAGCCUGAUCCAGCAAUGCCGCGUGCAGGAAGAAGGCCUUCGGGUUGCAAACUGCUUUUGUCAGGGAAGAAAUCCUCUAGGUUAAUACCCUUGGGGGGAUGACGGUACCUGAAGAAUAAGCACCGGCUAACUACGUGCCAGCAGCCGCCGUAAUAC
rnacentral:rRNA from 1 species